GCCGACUUAGCUCAGUUGGUAGAGCACCCGCCUUGUAAGCGGACGGUCAUCAGUUCAAGCCUGAUAGUCGGCUCCA
rnacentral:tRNA from 1 species